rnacentral:rRNA from 1 species
AUUGAACGCUGGCGGCAGGCCUAACACAUGCAAGUCGAACGAGUGGCGGACGGGUGAGUAAUGGAUGGGAAACUGCCUGAUGGAGGGGGAUAACUACUGGAAACGGUAGCUAAUACAGCAUACCAUCGGAUGUGCCCAGAUGGGAUUAGCUAGUAGGUUGGGUAAAGGCUCACCUAGGCGACGCUCCCUAGCUGGUCUGAGAGGAUGACCAGCCACACUGGAACUGAAACCAGGUCCAUACUCCUACGGUAGGCAGCAGUGGGGAAUAUUGCACAAUGGGCGCAAGCCUGAUGCAGCCAUGCCGCGUGUAUGAAGAAGGCCUUCGGGUUGUAAAGUACUUUCAGCGGGGAGGCGUUACCCGCAGAAGAAGCACCGGCUAACUCCGUGCCAGCAGCCGCGGUAAUUC